CUUGGUUGCCAUCAUUAAGUUGGGCACUCUAAGGUGACUGCCGGUGACAAACCGGAGGAAGGUGGGGAUGACGUCAAAUCAUCAUGCCCCUUAUGACCUGGGCUACACUCGUGCUACAAUGGACGGUACAAAGAGCUGCAAGACCGCGAGGUGGAGCUAAUCUCAUAAAACCGUUCUCAGUUCGGAUUGUAGGCUGCAACUCGCCUACAUGAAGCUGGAAUCGCUAGUAAUCGCGGAUCAGCAUGCCGCGGUGAAUACGUUCCCGGGCCUUGUACACACCGCCCGUCACACCACGAGAGUUUGUAACACCCGAAGUCGGUGGGGUAACCUUUUUGGAGCCAGCCGCCUAAGGUGGGACAGAUGAUUGGGGUGAAGUCGUAACAAGGUAGCCGUAUCGGAAGGUGCGGCUGGAUCACCUCCUUUCUAUGGA
rnacentral:rRNA from 1 species